ensembl:ncRNA Y37D8A.27 ncRNA
UUUUAGGCUUAGGCUUAGGCUUGGUCUUAGGCUUAGGCCUAGGGUUAGGUUUAGUCAUAGUCUGAGGCCGAGGCUUAGGCUUAGAUUUAGGCUUAGUAUUAGGGUUUGGGUUAGGCUUAGGCUU